GCGGCUUAGUGGUAAAGCACUUGCCUUGUAUGCAUGAGGCCCUGGGUUCGAUUCCAAAGCA
rnacentral:tRNA from 1 species